AUGUCACUUUAUGUUGAAAGCUUCAACAUCGAGAAAAUGUAUAGCAAAAGCAAACCUAGGAAGUUUGCGUUCUCACCGCAUACAGCCUCCAAGCUUGCCGUGGACCCAAGCUCAUUUCAGACAUGUUCUUGCAGCAAAGAUCUUGAGAGGGCCUGUGAAAGAAACAACAUCAUGAAAUCUGAUCAAUUGUUCUUCACCAUUGUCAAGGACGGACACUGGGCAGUUGUGGUUGCAAACUUGAUGCACAAACAAUUCAACGUCUUUGACUCGAGGGGUGAUGACCCUGACUAUGUCAGCAUCCUUGAGAAGCCAUGUUGCAAUCUGAUAUGGACGCUACACCUCUUUCCUUUCUCUUUUUUAAUUUUUUCUCUAUAUAAAUUUUGUUGUUUGUGGUACCAAUCAUAG
rnacentral:rRNA from 1 species